UGUUUUUUCACGGUUACAACUUCCUGUCUCCCAAUCCCACAUUUUGUUUCAUUGUUUCAGGUUUAGUCCCUUUCCCUUCCCCACUUUUUGAUUCUCACGGUUUUAGCUUUUGUUUUAUUGUUUCACUCACGGUUUCAUCUUCCUGUUCUACUGUUUCAGCUUCAGUUUUGACUUCUAACGAUUUGUUGAGAUCUUUGUCACUUACAACACUUGGGUAACUUCCAAGAAGAGUUGCUGGAACAAACUGAUAGAUUGAUUUUAUUAGCCAAAUCUGAAGUUUAGAGUGAAGAUUUUGUUAAACUCUGUGUUACUGCAUAUUAAGGAAUUAUUUACCUGAGUUUUUGAUCUUGAUAUUCAUAUUCAAGCUAAUGAGGACAAUGUAAUCGUUAACUGCAACUGCCAUAUGAUUUGCUGCUCUGCCUCAUCUCUUCUCUGCAACAUUAUUUUUUAAAGAUGGGUUUUGCCAUUGUUUUUCCUACCGUUUGGCAUGAGGGGAGAUAGGGAGACAUCUUAGGUCAGCAACACCGUCAGACUUUAACCACCAAAAAACUGGCUUCCCUCAACCGGCGGUACACUAUUAUAGGAAUGAGACUGAUUUUCAGGAUUUAUGAUGGCUGAACCAAUGCUCAUGAUUGGUGGCAAUAAUGCUCAACUUAAGUUGCUGCAUAACUCAUGUUGGUGCUGCUGCUGGAGGCUUAAGUAGCUGCAUAAUUGUUGGUGUUGUUGUUGCUUAAAGUCAAAUUCUUUUUUCAGACACUAUAUGCUUAAAUAUACUACAUUAUUUAAGUCAAAUUCUUUUUUAGAAAGAGCAUGUAAUUCAAUAACUUAUCAUUAUGUUUAGCUAUUUAAUUCCAUGAAAUUUCAGGUCAAUUGAGCCACAAGUGAAAGGAAACGAUUUACUUUGACUGUGA